rnacentral:rRNA from 1 species
GCACCCCGCUGACGAGCGGCGGACGGGUGAGUAAUGCUUAGGAAUCUGCCCAGUAGUGGGGGAUAGCCCGGGGAAACCCGGAUUAAUACCGCAUACGUCCUACGGGAGAAAGCAGGGGAUCUUCGGACCUUGCGCUACUGGAUGAGCCUAAGUCGGAUUAGCUAGUUGGUGGGGUAAAGGCCUACCAAGGCGACGAUCCGUAGCUGGUCUGAGAGGAUGAUCAGCCACAUCGGGACUGAGACACGGCCCGAACUCCUACGGGAGGCAGCAGUGGGGAAUAUUGGACAAUGGGGGCAACCCUGAUCCAGCCAUGCCGCGUGUGUGAAGAAGGCUUUCGGGUUGUAAAGCACUUUCAGCGAGGAGGAAGGCUCUGAAGUUAAUACCUUCAGGGAUUGACGUUACUCGCAGAAGAAGCACCGGCUAACUCCGUGCCAGCAGCCGCGGUAAUACGGAGGGUGCAAGCGUUAAUCGGAAUUACUGGGCGUAAAGCGCGCGUAGGUGGUUAGGUAAGCGAGAUGUGAAAGCCCCGGGCUUAACCUGGGAACGGCAUUUCGAACUGUCUGACUAGAGUGUGGUAGAGGGUAGUGGAAUUUCCUGUGUA